CAGUAGCCACGGGAAUACGAAGGGGGCUAGCGUUGCUCGGAAUGACUGGGCGUAAAGGGCGCGUAGGCGGCGGCCAAAGUCAGGCGUGAAAUUCCCGGGCUCAACCUGGGGGCUGCGUUUGAUACUUGGUUGCUUGAGUGGGGAAGAGGGUCGUGGAAUUCCCAGUGUAGAGGUGAAAUUCGUAGAUAUUGGGAAGAACACCGGUGGCGAAGGCGGCGACCUGGUCCUUUACUGACGCUGAGGCGCGAAAGCGUGGGGAGCAACCAGGAUUAGAUACCCCCGUAGUCCCUGUCUCUUAUAC
rnacentral:rRNA from 1 species